GACGUAGGGCGCGAGCGUUGUCCGGAUUUAUUGGGCGUAAAGAGCUCGUAGGUGGCUUGUCACGUCGGGUGUGAAAGCUUGGGGCUUAACUCCAGGUCUGCAUUCGAUACGGGCUGGCUAGAGGUAGGUAGGGGAGAACGGAAUUCCUGGUGUAGCGGUGGAAUGCGCAGAUAUCAGGAGGAACACCAGUGGCGAAGGCGGUUCUCUGGGCCUUACCUGACGCUGAGGAGCGAAAGCGUGGGGAGCAAACAGG
rnacentral:rRNA from 1 species